UACAGAGGGUGCGAGCGUUAAUCGGAAUUACUGGGCGUAAAGCGUGCGUAGACGGUUAUCUAAGUCAGAUGUGAAAGCCCCGGGCUCAACCUGGGAAUUGCAUUUGAGACUGAAUAGCUAGGGUACGGUAGAGGGAAGUGGAAUUUCCGGUGUAGCGGUGAAAUGCGUAGAUAUCGGAAGGAACAUCAGUGGCGAAGGCGACUCUCUGGUCUGCAACUGACGCUGAGGCGCGAAAGCGUGGGGAGCGAACAGG
rnacentral:rRNA from 1 species